UUUUCAUUCACGCGGUCGUCCCUCUGAGUUUCCUUUUUUAUUCUCCUAUUUAAUUGAAAUUGAAGCUUCUUCUAAUCAAGAACCCUAAAUCCCUCUGUAUUCUGCUUCUCCCAUACGUUUCAUCUUCGCACAAUAUCUCUCUCCUCAACCUUUUCCCUAUCUUAUUUUGCAAAUCACAAAACUAGGCGUCUAAAGCAAGGAUUGAAAGCAUCGAUUGAAGGCAACACAGUAAGUUAUUUUCGAUCCUUAAUCUGAUCCACAUAUGAUUUUUUCAUAACCCUAAUUCUCAGCGAGGCAAUUCUCAUAUAUCUCUGAUUCAUCCUAAAUCGUUACCCUCUGAACUGGAUCUCGGUAUGUUAAAUUUUAAUCUUAUAAUCCUACGUUUCUACAAAACCCUAAUUGUGAUAUGUGCGAUUUUCAGACCUUCAAACUUCAAAGAUCCAGAAAGAAUUUGAGGGCUACUGUAUGAAUCGGAUUCUGAUCGUGUGAAACGUAAUCGUUUUUUGUUCAGAUCUGGUUUUAGUUCAUUGAAUAAAUUGCAUGUUUCUAAUACCCUAAUUCCCUCAAUUCGUAUGAUUAGUGUUAUAAAACUUUUGUGAUGUAGACAGUAUGUUCGUUCGUUUGUUUAUGUUCCGAUUUUGUUCUGAAGUUCCAGUAUGAUUUUCAAUUUUUCUUUCUUUUGCUUAUUAUUUUUGCAUUAUCAAUUACAAUCGGGGCGUUUAGAUCUUUAAUCGGGGUGUCUAGGUCUCUAUUUUGGUUUUUUGUUGUUAAAACGCAAUGGGAUUAUGAAACUCUUUAGCACUUUGUACCAGCCUUCACAUCUGGGAAAUUUGUUAUUAGGUUUUAAUGGAACUAAGAGUGCCUUUGUUGUUGGCCCAUUGCCCUUGAUUCAAAAGAGUUUGCUGUGAAAGAUGACUUUGUUGAUUAUUCAAUGUCAAUUAGCAUCUUUUUUUUGUUGAAUUUUAGUUAGAGCUCAGGUAAUUAAGUCAUGAGUUGUGUUGUGUGUUUCUAUCAUUUUAUAGUCCAGAUGAAUAUCAAGACUCAAGAGGGCUACCGGCUAUUGCUGUUAUAUUGUUUGUGUGGUUUCAAUUCUUUGAUUUCAAUAUUCACGGCUAUCAUUUAUUUCUGUGUUAAUUGGAAUUUGGAUAUGGUUGUUCUGGAUUUCAAAACAAGUGUUUGUAUGUUAGUUGUUUGCUAAGAAGGCUACAAAGCAGCAAGAUUUAUUUCUGAGGUAUUUCAUGUUAGUCACAAGGGGUGAUGGUUUAAUCCAGUCAACUCCAUGCCGGUUAAUUGUGUAUGAAAACAGAACACAUGCUUGGGGUUUACAAGGUGUGAAUGCAUAUUGGGGAUCUUAGCUUUUCUGUUAGUUCAAGAAGGUCAAAACCACAGGUGGCGGCUGUUAGGUGUGAGAUCUCCUUUUCUUCCCUUUGAUUCUCUGGUUACGCUACGAUUAUUCUCAAGACAGGGGGCCAUUUAUAGGUUCAAUGAUGUUGGUUAGGGUUGGUUUGAUCUUUUAGGAAUGUUCUUUUUGAGGAUAAAGUGGUGAAGAGUGGGUCGAUAUGGAAGUUAUUGAGGAGUUCCUCGGGUGUAAUCGGUUCGGUUCGAUAUGGAAGGAGGCAAAACCAGCUGAUUUGAAUGAAAGUGAACCCAUGUUACAAUCUGUUAUGCAUAAGAUGUGUGGUUUUGAUACAUAUCAUGCUUCAAGAUCUACAGGAUAUGGUCAAAGUUCUGAAACCACUGUGGUGUUUAUACAGAUCAUGCUUCAAUAGCUACCGAUUUGCCGGUCAAACAGGCCAGGGAUAUUGUGAACUGGCUCGCUUCAGGUCAAGAGGUUCAAAGACUAUGUGCAUUAACAGUCAAGUCCCUUGAUACACUCUUAUCCAAUACUCCUAAACCUCUUGCAAAAGGUUUGUAACAGUGACAUGAAUUGAACACACUUGGACACCAUCUUCCAAUUAUCAAAUCCGCCUUGAAAAGGCCAGUAAUAUUUAGUUUAUUCAGUUACUUAACAUUAUUUGUAUCG